AUACAUAGGGUACGAGCGUUGUCCGGAAUUACUGGGCGUAAAGGGCGCGCAGGCGGAUAUUUAAGUCAGCUGUAAAAGGCCUGAGCUCAACUCAUGUAUGCGGUUGAAACUGUGUAUCUAGUGUUCUGGCAGGGUAGGCGGAAUUCCCGGUGUAGCGGUGCAAUGCGUAGUUAUCGGGAAGAACACCAGUGGCGAAGACGGCUUACUGGCCAGCAACUGACGCUGAGGCGCGAAAGCCAGGGGAGCGAACGGGAUUAGAUACCCCGGUAGUCCUGGCCGUAAACGAUGAAUGCUAGGUGUGGGUGUCGAGAGGCAUCCGUGCCGGAGUUAACGCGAUAAGCAUUCCGCCUGGGGAGUACGAUCGCAAGAAUGAAACUCAAAGGAAUUGGCGGGG
rnacentral:rRNA from 1 species